rnacentral:rRNA from 1 species
AGCAUAUCAAUAAGCGGAGGAAAAGAAACCAACAGGGAUUGCCCUAGUAACGGCGAGUGAAGCGGCAACAGCUCAAAUUUGAAAUCUGGCUUCGGCCCGAGUUGUAAUUUGCAGAGGAAGCUUUAGGCGCGGCACCUUCUGAGUCCCCUGGAACGGGGCGCCAUAGAGGGUGAGAGCCCCGUAUAGUUGGAUGCCUAGCCUGUGUAAAGCUCCUUCGACGAGUCGAGUAGUUUGGGAAUGCUGCUCAAAAUGGGAGGUAAAUUUCUUCUAAAGCUAAAUACCGGCCAGAGACCGAUAGCGCACAAGUAGAGUGAUCGAAAGAUGAAAAGCACUUUGAAAAGAGGGUUAAAUAGCACGUGAAAUUGUUGAAAGGGAAGCGCUUGUGACCAGACUUGCGCCGGGCGGAUCAUCCGGUGUUCUCACCGGUGCACUCCGCCCGGCUCAGGCCAGCAUCGGUUCUCGCGGGGGGAUAAAGGUCCUGGGAACGUAGCUCCUCCGGGAGUGUUAUAGCCCGGGGCGUAAUGCCCUCGCGGGGACCGAGGUUCGCGCAUCUGCAAGGAUGCUGGCGUAAUGGUCAUCAGCGACCCGUCUUGAAACACGGACCAAGGAGUCAAGGUUUUGCGCGAGUGUUUGGGUGUAAAACCCGCACGCGUAAUGAAAGUGAACGUAGGUGAGAGCUUCGGCGCAUCAUCGACCGAUCCUGAUGUUUUCGGAUGGAUUUGAGUAGGAGCGUUAAGCCUUGGACCCGAAAGAUGGUGAACUAUGCUUGGAUAGGGUGAAGCCAGAGGAAACUCUGGUGGAGGCUCGCAGCGGUUCUGACGUGCAAAUCGAUCGUCAAAUCUGAGCAUGGGGGCGAAAGACUAAUCGAACCAUCUAGUAGCUGGUUACCGCCGAA